GUUUAUGGCCACACCAUCCUGAACACACCCGAUCUCACCUGAUUUCAGAAGCUAAGCAGGGUGGGGCCUGGUUAGUACUUGGAUGGGAGAACUAAAAGGGAAUAUAGUUUGUAUAGCAU
rnacentral:rRNA from 1 species